rnacentral:rRNA from 1 species
UACGUAGGGGGCUAGCGUUGUCCGGAUUUAUUGGGCGUAAAGAGCGUGUAGGCGGCCAUGUAGGUCCGGUGUGAAAACUCGAGGCUUAACCUCGAGAUGUCAUCGGAAACCAUUUGGCUAGAGUCCGGAAGAGGAGAGUGGAAUUCCUGGUGUAGCGGUGAAAUGCGCAGAUAUCAGGAAGAACACCAAUGGCGAAGGCAGCUCUCUGGGUCCCUACCGACGCUGGGGUGCGAAAGCAUGGGGAGCGAACAGG